rnacentral:rRNA from 1 species
GUCUAUGGCCUUGUCACUCUAAACAAGCCCAAUCUCGUCUGAUCUCAGAAGCUAAGCAAGGUCAGGCCUGGUUAGUACUAGCAUGGGGGAACCACUUACGAAGACCAGGUGCUGUAGAUG